rnacentral:rRNA from 1 species
AUUGAACGCUGGCGGCAUGCCUAACACAUGCAAGUCGAACGGGGUGUAGCAAUACAUCUAGUGGCGGACGGGUGAGGAAUACAUAGGAAUUUGCCCUUAAGUGGGGGAGUAGUCCGGGAACGUCGGUUUAAUACCGCAUGAUCUCGUGAGAGCAAAGCAGGGGACCGGCAAGGCCUUGCGCUUUUGGUAGAAGCCUAUGUCGGAUUAGCUAGUUGGUAGGGUAAUGGCCUACCAAGGCAACGAUCCGUAACUGUCUGAGAGGAUGAUCAGUCACACCGGAACUGAGACACGGUCCGGACUCCUACGGGAGGCAGCAGUGGGGAAUAUUGGACAAUGGGCGCAAGCCUGAUCCAGCAAUGCCGCGUGUGUAGAAG